ensembl:snRNA U6 U6 spliceosomal RNA
GUGCUCACUUCAGCAGUACAUAUACUAAAAUUAGAAUAUAUAUUACAUUGAAGAGUAGCAUGGCCUUGUACAAAGAUGACAUGCAAAUUUGUGAGGCAUUCCAUAUUUUU